CCAGUAACGGCGAGUGAAGCGGCAACAGCUCAAAUUUGAAAUCUGGCCCCCCCGGGGCCCGAGUUGUAAUUUGCAGAGGGCGCUUUGGCGUUGGCUCCUGCCUAAGUUCCUUGGAACAGGGCGUCAUAGAGGGUGAGAACCCCGUACGUGGCAGGCCGCCUUCGCCGUGUAAAGCCCCUUCGACGAGUCGAGUUGUUUGGGAAUGCAGCUCUAAAUGGGAGGUAAAUUCCUUCUAAAGCUAAAUACUGGCCAGAGACCGAUAGCGCACAAGUAGAGUGAUCGAAAGAUGAAAAGCACUUUGGAAAGAGAGUCAAAAAGCACGUGAAAUUGUUGAAAGGGAAGCGCUUGCAGCCAGACUUGCCUGCAGUUGUUCAUCCGGGCUCCCGCCCGGUGCACUCCUCUGCGGGCAGGCCAGCAUCAGUUUGGGCGGCCGGAUAAAGGCCCCGGGAACGUAGCUCUCUCCGGGGAGUGUUAUAGCCCGGGGCGCAAUGCGGCCAGCCCGGACUGAGGUCCGCGCAUCUGCUAGGAUGCUGGCGUAAUGGCUGUAAGCGGCCCGUCUUGAAACACGGACCAAGGAGUCUAACAUCUAUGCGAGUGUUUGGGUGUAAAGCCCGGGCGCGUAAUGAAAGUGAACGGAGGUGGGAACCCCCCCGGGGUGCACCAUCGACCGAUCCUGAUGUCUUCGGAUGGAUUUGAGUAAGAGCAUAGCUGUUGGGACCCGAAAGAUGGUGAACUAUGCCUGAAUAGGGUGAAGCCAGAGGAAACUCUGGUGGAGGCU
rnacentral:rRNA from 1 species